CCUACGGGAGGCAGCAGUGAGGAAUAUUGGUCAAUGGACGAGAGUCUGAACAAGCCAAGUAGCGUGAAGGAUGAAUGCCCUAUGGGUUGUAAACUUCUUUUAUAAAGGAAUAAAACGAGGCACGUGUGCCUUUUUGCAUGUACUUUAUGAAUAAGGAACGGCUGACUCCGUGCCAGCAGCCGCGGUACUACGGAGGAUCCGAGCGUUAUCCGGAUUUAAUGGGUUUUAAGGGAGCGUAGAUGGGUUGUUAAGUCAGUUGGGAAAAUUUGCGGGUUAACCGUAAAAUUGCAAUUGAUACUGGCAGUCUUGAGUACAGUUGAGGUAGGCGGAAUGCGUGGUGUAGCGGUGAAAUGCUUAGAUAUCACGAAGAACCCCGAUUGCGAAGGCAGCUUACUAAACUGUGACUGACAUUGAUGCUCGAAAGUGUGGGUAUCAAACAGGAUUAGAUACCCCAGUAGUC
rnacentral:rRNA from 1 species